rnacentral:rRNA from 1 species
UACAGUGGAAGACUAGUGUUAUUCAUCUUUAUUAGGUUUAAAGGGUACAUAGACGGAUAAUUAAGCCCUCAAAGGGGUACAAAUUAGCCUAGAGUUUAAAAUGAGGAAGUAGAACUUUUGGAAGAGAGAUAUAAUAUCGAAGAAACUAAAGGGACAAGUAACGGUGAAGACGACUUUCUAAAUAAAACUGACGUUGAGGGACGAAGGCUUGGGUAUCGAUAAGG